UGUGUCUUUAAUUUGCAAGCUCUCAUUUCCGCAUUCGGGACUAUUUCUCCCGAGCCGGCUCUGCCCAAUGUUUUGCCAGGAAAGCAGCAAAACGAAGUCCCUUUACGGUCCCAGAUUUGGAUAAACGGCAUCCAUUUAUAAUCCCCCUUCUCAGAAGGAGAAUAGAAAGCAAAAGUCAGCAUUUCAGAAGAAAACUUUGAAGGGUGGAAAAACGUGGUGAAAGAGACGGUUGUAUAUUCGGUUUGCCAGGGACGAGAGUUGCGUUUGCUGAAGAUCUGCGACCGGCGACCUUUUAGCCGAUUGGAGAUCGGCCAGGUCGUUUGAGGUGUGUUAAUUUAUUUCUCCUCCCGCUGGAAGUCUGCUCUCCCUGCUUACUUAGUGGCGCUAUCGAUCUGCUACGACCGGACGAGAAAUAUUCUCAUGUCGUCUGCCUUAGAUAUGCUCGAGGCUUCUGAUAGGCAAGAAGGAUUGAAAGGUUUGCAUUAUCCAUAACAGUAAAAUACAGUGUCCUUAUUUUUUUUAAAAGUCAGAUUCCUGUUCCCAGAAACAUUCAUGUGCACAGAUAGAAUACUUCCAUUUCCCACUGAGAUGAAAACAGUGGUUCAUAAAAUUUACCGCACAGCUGGCAGUUUUUAAACCUGAGGCCUAAAUCACGACAAUGGAGUUAUUUGAGAUGUCUAUAUCUAGUGCCCCAGCACUCAAGAUUUGGACCCGAGAAGCCUUUCUGGGAAGGCAGUUCCAUAGCAAAGGUUCUCAAACUUUGCAACACCAUCACCCUCUGCAAUAAUAAAAUGAAUUUUUGCAACCCUUCCAUGAAUAAAGCUAAUGAUUUCACUGAGCUAAGUGAUUGGGCAAGAUAAAUACACCAUUUAUUUUAAUAAUUAAAUCUUAAUCAAUAUAUCAUAUAAAAGAAUCUUACAACUUCAUAAUAUAAAACUGUUUCAUUGGAAAUAAGCAACCCAAAAAUCCUCAAUAAAAUUUAAAUACAUAUUUUAAUGGGAAGGAGGAAGUUACUUUUGCAAAUUCCUGAAAUCUGGCUUUUAUUUUCAAGACAGACACUUAUUUUAUCAAAGUCAAAGGGAAAGGUAUUUCUUUACCAUAAAUCAGCUGUUCUUCAACUACUCUUAAAAUGCUUCAGUUUGCAAAAAAAGAUUACUUUUGGCAUCCUUUCUUCCAGUACAGCCACACAUUCACAGCCUUCACUGUCCUCUCCCCUUUGUAGAAGUUCCUCUGCGGAGUAAGCAUUACAUCAGAUGGUCAGAGCUUUGAAAGAAUCCAGAUAGGAUUACCCCUUUUCUGAAACGUAAAUGCCAGAGUGCUAAACUUCCCCAAAAGUAUACUCAAACUUCAUGCAGGGCUUGAACAUGCAGGGCAUUCCUUUGCAUGCAACAUACUUUUGCACUGAACUGGUUAACCUACCUGAAAAGCAGUGUGAGAAAGGCACUUUGGGGCCAUCCAUUGUCUUCUGACCCCCUGCUGGUCAUGUUUCACACUGAGAAACAUGCUAUACUAAGGGAAGGGGUGCGAGAGUAAAAGCAAAAACGGUAAGGGGAUUGAUUUGGUAAGUAAAAGGAAAGUUUACUUUCCUGGUAAACACUAUCCAGGAAAAUGUGUGGCAGAAUUCUGAUUGAAAGGGUAGAAGUGUCAGUAAGCAAAAUUUGUGAAGUGCAGGGCAGAUUUAUAUUGGGCAGGGGGUGUGUAGACCAGCUUUUGCUUUUUGGCAAGCUGUUGAGGAAUACACAAAUGUGAAAUGGAAUAUUUAUUGUGUAUUCAUUGAUUCAGCGAAAGUAUAUAGUAAAGUGAAGAGGCCUUUAAGUGAAUCAUCUCUUUCAUUUCUUUGGCCUACUACUUCUUACUCCUUUUCUGCACUUGGUGUAACACUACUUUUUGCCUGAAUAAUGUGAUGGGUAUCUAUACAUGUCCAUGUCAGGGUUUCUUGCCUUCUUCUUUAAUAUUACCAGAUAUCUAAGGAGAAUCUUCAUUUUAUUUGGUUUUUGCAUUUCAGGUUCUGUUUUAUUUUAGGUUUAAGACUCUUAAUAUCUGGCCUCCUUAACAUCACAAGAAAUACAAGAAGUUCAAGAAGCUGACAUUUGCAAGACAAUAAAAAACUCAGGAGUCCCCUGUCUGGAAUUUAUAAUAAACAGCUGGAAAGCCAGAAGUGCUGACUUUUAAAAACGAUAUACCAAAUCAUGUGCCGUGGCAGAUGUGGACAGUCUUUUUCAUCUAAUGAUCAGAAGCCAUACAAAUGAAUAGAAGACAAUCAGAACCACGCUCUACAAUGCUGGAGGUAGAGGAGAGUUCUAUGAACAUCACAUUGCAAUUUGCCCAAAUGGAGUGUUGGAGGAGAAGUUGACAAUCAGCCUAGAAAAGUUCAUGAGGGGUCCUCAAAUUGUGGAACUAUGCCUUGACUUCAGAUCCACAUCCUGUGUGUUGUAUUUUCCCACGGGCUAAUGAUGUGCUAAUGGGACAGCAACAAAGUCAGCGGAGAAAACCAAUCAACAUCUGUGGACCUGCAAAUCUGGCCAACGGGUCUUUACAUGAGAGAAGAAAACCAAGGAUUGCAGGGUGUCUAGCGUUGACACCAAACUGAGCCAGAAACCUAAAACUCAGAUCCUGCAAGAGAAAAGGAUGUCUCCCCAGCUCCCUCCUGGCUUGUCUGAACGUGCAACUAUUUAUUUGCACAGAAGUCAGUGUUUUUUCUCCCUGGCUUUUGUCAUGAGUUAAAACUUCCAGAAAUAAAACAUGCACCCCCAUUUUACUCUGGCCUCUUUU